AGAGUUUGAUCCUGGCUCAGGACGAACGCUGGCGGCGUGCCUAAUACAUGCAAGUAGAACGCUGAAGAGAGGAGCUUGCUCUUCUUGGAUGAGUUGCGAACGGGUGAGUAACGCGUAGGUAACCUGCCUUGUAGCGGGGGAUAACUAUUGGAAACGAUAGCUAAUACCGCAUAACAAUGGAUGACACAUGUCAUUUAUUUGAAAGGGGCAAUUGUUCCACUACAAGAUGGACCUGCGUUGUAUUAGCUAGUAGGUGAGGUAAUGGCUCACCUAGGCGACGAUACAUAGCCGACCUGAGAGGGUGAUCGGCCACACUGGGACUGAGACACGGCCCAGACUCCUACGGGAGGCAGCAGUAGGGAAUCUUCGGCAAUGGGGGCAACCCUGACCGAGCAACGCCGCGUGAGUGAAGAAGGUUUUCGGAUCGUAAAGCUCUGUUGUAAGUCAAGAACGGGUGUGAGAGUGGAAAGUUCACACUGUGACGGUAGCUUACCAGAAAGGGACGGCUAACUACGUGCCAGCAGCCGCGGUAAUACGUAGGUCCCGAGCGUUGUCCGGAUUUAUUGGGCGUAAAGCGAGCGCAGGCGGUUUGAUAAGUCUGAAGUUAAAGGCUGUGGCUCAACCAUAGUUCGCUUUGGAAACUGUCAAACUUGAGUGCAGAAGGGGAGAGUGGAAUUCCAUGUGUAGCGGUGAAAUGUGUAGAUAUAUGGAGGAACACCGGUGGCGAAAGCGGCUCUCUGGUCUGUAACUGACGCUGAGGCUCGAAAGCGUGGGGAGCGAACAGGAUUAGAUACCCUGGUAGUCCACGCCGUAAACGAUGAGUGCUAGGUGUUGGAUCCUUUCCGGGAUUCAGUGCCGCAGCUAACGCAUUAAGCACUCCGCCUGGGGAGUACGACCGCAAGGUUGAAACUCAAAGGAAUUGACGGGGGCCCGCACAAGCGGUGGAGCAUGUGGUUUAAUUCGAAGCAACGCGAAGAACCUUACCAGGUCUUGACAUCCCGAUGCUAUUUCUAGAGAUAGAAAGUUACUUCGGUACAUCGGUGACAGGUGGUGCAUGGUUGUCGUCAGCUCGUGUCGUGAGAUGUUGGGUUAAGUCCCGCAACGAGCGCAACCCCUAUUGUUAGUUGCCAUCAUUCAGUUGGGCACUCUAGCGAGACUGCCGGUAAUAAACCGGAGGAAGGUGGGGAUGACGUCAAAUCAUCAUGCCCCUUAUGGCCUGGGCUACACACGUGCUACAAUGGUUGGUACAACGAGUUGCGAGUCGGUGACGGCGAGCUAAUCUCUUAAAGCCAAUCUCAGUUCGGAUUGUAGGCUGCAACUCGCCUACAUGAAGUCGGAAUCGCUAGUAAUCGCGGAUCAGCACGCCGCGGUGAAUACGUUCCCGGGCCUUGUACACACCGCCCGUCACACCACGAGAGUUUGUAACACCCGAAGUCGGUGAGGUAACCUUUUGGAGCCAGCCGCCUAAGGUGGGACAGAUGAUUGGGGUGAAGUCGUAACAAGGUA
rnacentral:rRNA from 1 species